rnacentral:sRNA from 1 species
GCCAGGCAUGGUGGCACAUGCCUGUAAUCCCAGCAACUCAGGAGGCUGGGGCAGGAGGACUGCAAGUUCAAAACCAGCCUCAGCAACUUAGCAAGGCUCUGAGCGACUUAGUGAGACCCUGUCUCAA